rnacentral:rRNA from 1 species
ACGAAUUCAUGGUCCGGUGAAGUGUCCGGGCGCAAUUGGGGCGGUUCGCUGCCCGCGAGUCGCGAGAAGUCCACUGAACCUUAUCAUUUAUUAGGAAGGAGAAGUCGUAACAAGGUUUCCGUAGGUGAACCUGCGGAAG